UACAGAGGGGGCAAGCGUUGUUCGGAAUUACUGGGCGUAAAGGGCGCGUAGGCGGCCCGCUAAGUCGAACGUGAAAUCCCUGGGCUCAACCCAGGAACUGCGUCUGAUACUGGCGGGCUUGAAUCCGGGAGAGGGAUGUGGAAUUCCAGGUGUAGCGGUGAAAUGCGUAGAUAUCUGGAGGAACACCGGUGGCGAAGGCGGCAUCCUGGACCGGUAUUGACGCUGAUGCGCGAAAGCCAGGGGAGCAAACGGG
rnacentral:rRNA from 1 species